rnacentral:lncRNA from 1 species
UGACAAAGGACCCUGGUAGUUCUGCCACUGAGAUGGUUUUAUUUCUUGAAUUCAUCAUCUGUCUGAAAACUCCAGCUUGCCUCCCUGCCCUAAAAUCAUAGCCAGGAAUUUUACUUUCCUGGGAGUGACUACAGUCUGCAGGGACCUCAACCCUCAGCAACCACACUUACCAAGAUGAACUUGGAAGAAAAGAGAAGAAAGAAUGCAAGGAAAAUCAUUUUUUUCAACCAGAGGAAGAGAGUUUUUGGUCUAAAUGCUUCCCCCACAUAGGAUGGGGAAAAGGGCUUGACAUCCUGAAGAAGAGGAGAUUCCAGAAGGGAAACAGUUGGGUCUCUCAGUCUUGAGAAGCCAAAGGAUCUAUUAUGGUUGGAGACUAGUUUCUGAGCACUGAACUUGAUUCAUAUUUGAAGCCAACUAUCAUCCCCUCAAAGAUUCCCAGAGAGAGGUGGCAGGAACCUGAAAGAAGCAAGAAGCAGUUUUCAAGAUCAAUCACAUCCCUAUGACACCCUGGAUCUGGACAUUGCUCAGCCAUGAUAAGACCAGAGUUCACCCAACCUGAACCUCUGAGAGGGAGGGAAAGGAAACUUAUUUAGAGAAUUGUACAGGUACAGAAAGGAUUACACUUUUUUUCAGAUACACAAUACGUUAAAAAAGUAACCAUAUAAGAUGCAAAAAUUUUAUACUGAAAAGCAAAAAUAUUAAAUGUAACUUUUUCAGAUCAUAAUACAAUAAAAUUAUGUUUAAUAAAGGACA